rnacentral:rRNA from 1 species
CUACGGGGGGCAGCAGUUAGGAAUAUUCUGCAAUGCGCGCAAGCGUGACAGAUUGAGCCAGAGUGCUUCUCUAUUUGAGAAGCUUUUGCCAAAUGUAAAAAGUUUGGCGAAUAAGGACCGGGUAAGACGAGUGCCAGCCGCCGCGGUAAUACUCGCGGUCCAAGUCGCAGCCAUUUUUAUUGGGUCUAAAACAUCCGUAGCUUGCUUGGUAAGUUUCCCGUGAAAUCCUGUCUCUUAAGGGCAGGGCGAGCAGGAAGUACUGCCAGGCUAGAGACUGGAAGGCGUAAGAAGUACGUUCAAAGUAGCGGUAAAAUGUUUUAAUCUUGGACGGACUCACAAUAGCGAAGGCAUCUUACGAGGACAGUUCUGACAGUAAGGGAUGAAGGCUAGGGGCGCAAAACGGAUUAGAUACCCCGGUAGUC